rnacentral:rRNA from 1 species
UACGUAGGGCGCGAGCGUUGUCCGGAUUUAUUGGGCGUAAAGAGCUCGUAGGCGGCUUGUCGCGUCGUCCGUGAAAACCAGGGGCUCAACCCCUGGCUUGCGGUCGAUACGGGCAGGCUAGAGUUCGGUAGGGGAGACUGGAAUUCCUGGUGUAGCGGUGAAAUGCGUAGAUAUCAGGAGGAAUACCGAUGGCGAAGGCAGGUCUCUGGGCUAUAACUGACGCUCAUGCACGAAAGCGUGGGGAGCAAACAGG